rnacentral:rRNA from 1 species
UACGUAGGGACCAAGCGUUGUUCGGAUUUACUGGGCGUAAAGGGCGCGUAGGCGGUGCGGUAAGUCACUUGUGAAAUCUCCGAGCUUAACUCGGAACGGCCAAGUGAUACUGCGGUACUAGAGUGCGGAAGGGGCAAUCGGAAUUCUUGGUGUAGCGGUGAAAUGCGUAGAUAUCAAGAGGAACACCUGCGGCGAAGGCGGGUUGCUGGGCCGACACU